rnacentral:lncRNA from 1 species
UUGGCGUUAAAAUUGAUUCACUUAUAGGGUCAUUGCAUCGGAACUAAACACAUUUAUUUAAAAACCAGUUGUUGGCAUGACACGGGUUAUGUUCUUCUCAUAUAUUUUAUGAUGGUAUGAUACUAAACCCCUAACGGGAGGGAUUGUGCCUAAUAUUCAUAUGAUGAAGACAUAAUCUUUCAAUCAGUUUAAUUGAGGUCUGGAGCUGGUAAGUCAGUUAACUGCUAGUAGUUUGUUGUUAUUUAUGUAUUGUUGUCAUUUUGUUUAUUUUCUUUUGUUACAUCUUCUGACAUCGGACUCGCAUUUCUCCUGAACUGAAUUUUAAUGUGCGUACUGUGAUGCGUUUACUUUUCUACAUUGGCUAGAGGUAAAGGGAAGGGUUGAGAUCUCAUAAACAUGUUUAACCCCGCAUUGUUGGGCCUGUCCCAAGUCAGGAGCCUCUAGCCUUUGUAAGUCUUGUAUUAUUUUUAAUUUUAGUUUCUUGUGUAAAAUUUGGAGUUUGGUAUGACGUCCAUUACUGAACUAGUAUAUAUAUUUGUUUGGUGGACAGCUGAAGGACGCCCCCGGUUGCUGGAAUUUCUCGCUGCAUUGAAGACCUA